rnacentral:rRNA from 1 species
UACGGAGGGUGCGAGCGUUAUCCGGAAUUACUGGGUUUAAAGGGUGCGUAGGCGGCCAUGUAAGUCAGGAGUGAAAGUUUGCGGCUCAACCGUAAAAUUGCUUUUGAUACUGCAUGGCUGGAAUCAGGAUGAGGUCAGCGGAAUGUGGCAUGUAGCGGUGAAAUGCAUAGAUAUCGGGAGGAACACCGGUGGCGAAGGCGGUUCUCUGGGCCUGUGCUGACGCUGGAGGAGCGAAAGCGUGGGGAGCGAACAGG